rnacentral:rRNA from 1 species
AAAAGUGAAAGACGGUCUUGCUGUCACUUAUAGAUGGAUCCGCGCUGCAUUAGCUAGUUGGUAAGGUAACGGCUUACCAAGGCAACGAUGCAUAGCCGACCUGAGAGGGUGAUCGGCCACACUGGAACUGAGACACGGUCCAGACUCCUACGGGAGGCAGCAGUAGGGAAUCUUCCGCAAUGGGCGAAAGCCUGACGGAGCAACGCCGCGUGAGUGAUGAAGGUCUUCGGAUCGUAAAACUCUGUUAUUAGGGAAGAACAUAUGUGUAAGUAACUGUGCACAUCUUGACGGUACCUAAUCAGAAAGCCACGGCUAACUACGUGCCAGCAGCCGCGGUAAUACGUAGGUGGCAAGCGUUAUCCGGAAUUAUUGGGCGUAA